rnacentral:rRNA from 1 species
UGCAAGUCGAACGAAGUAGCAAUACUUAGUGGCAGACGGGUGAGUAACAUGUAGGUAUCUGCCCUAUGGCCUGGAAUAACACGAGGAAACUUCGUGCUAAUACCGGAUAAGUCUUUACGGAGAAAGCUUUAUGCACCAUUGGAUGAGCCUGCACUUGAUUAGUUAGUUGGUAGGGUAAUGGCCUACCAAGACUGUGAUCAAUAGCUGAUUUGAGAGGAUGAUCAGCCACAUUGGGACUGAGACACGGCCCAAACUCCUACGGGAGGCAGCAGUGGGGAAUCUUGCACAAUGGAGGAAACUCUGAUGCAGCGAUGCCGCGUGAGUGAAGAAGGCCCUUGGGUUGUAAAGCUCUUUCGUCGGGGAAGAAAAUGACUGUACCCGAAUAAGAAGGUCCGGCUAACUUCGUGCCAGCAGCCGCGGUAAUACGAAGGGACCUAGCGUAGUUCGGAAUUACUGGGCUUAAAGAGUUCGUAGGUGGUUGAAAAAGUUAGUGGUGAAAUCCCAGAGCUUAACUCUGGAACUGCCAUUAAAACUUUUCAGCUAGAGUAUGAUAGAGGAAAGCAGAAUUUCUAGUGUAGAGGUGAAAUUCGUAGAUAUUAGAAAGAAUACCAAUUGCGAAGGCAGCUUUCUGGAUCAUUACUGACACUGAGGAACGAAAGCAUGGGUAGCGAAGAGGAUUAGAUACCCUCGUAGUCCAUGCCGUAAACGAUGUGUGUUAGACGUUGGAAAUUUAUUUUCAGUGUCGCAGGGAGACCGAUAAACACACCGCCUGGGGAGUACGACCGCAAGGUUAAAACUCAAAUGAAUUGACGGGGACCCGCACAAGUAGUGGAGCAUGUGGUUUAAUUCGAAGAUACGCGCAGAACCUUACCAACACUUGACAUGUUCGUCGCGACUCUA